rnacentral:rRNA from 1 species
CCUACGGGGGGCAGCAGUGAGGAAUAUUGGUCAAUGGACGAGAGUCUGAACCAGCCAAGUAGCGUGAAGGAUGACUGCCCUAUGGGUUGUAAACUUCUUUUAUAUGGGAAUAAAACGUUCCACGUGUGGGAUUUUGUAUGUACCAUAUGAAUAAGGAUCGGCUAACUCCGUGCCAGCAGCCGCGGUAAUACGGAGGAUCCGAGCGUUAUCCGGAUUUAUUGGGUUUAAAGGGAGCGUAGGUGGAUUGUAAAGUCAGUUGUGAAAGUUUGCGGCUCAACCGUAAAAUUGCAGUUGAAACUGGCAGUCUUGAGUACAGUAGAGGUGGGCGGAAUUCGUGGUGUAGCGGUGAAAUGCUUAGAUAUCACGAAGAACUCCGAUUGCGAAGGCAGUUCACUGGACUGCAACUGACACUGAGGCUCGAAAGUGUGGGUAUCAAACAGGAUUAGAUACCCCAGUAGUC